UAGGGAAUCUUCGGCAAUGGGGGGAACCCUGACCGAGCAACGCCGCGUGAGUGAAGAAGGUUUUCGGAUCGUAAAGCUCUGUUGUUAAGGAAGAACGAGUGUGAGAAUGGAAAGUUCAUAUUGUGACGGUACUUAACCAGAAAGGGACGGCUAACUACGUGCCAGCAGCCGCGGUAAUACGUAGGUCCCGAGCGUUGUCCGGAUUUAUUGGGCGUAAAGCGAGCGCAGGCGGUUAGAUAAGUCUGAAGUUAAAGGCAGUGGCUCAACCAUUGUAGGCUUUGGAAACUGUUUAACUUGAGUGCAGAAGGGGAGAGUGGAAUUCCAUGUGUAGCGGUGAAAUGCGUAGAUAUAUGGAGGAACACCGGUGGCGAAAGCGGCUCUCUGGUCUGUAACUGACGCUGAGGCUCGAAAGCGUGGGGAGCGAACAGG
rnacentral:rRNA from 1 species